rnacentral:rRNA from 1 species
UACGUAGGGUGCGAGCGUUUAAUCGGAAUUACUGGGCGUAAAGCGUGCGCAGGCGGUUUUGUAAGUCAGAUGUGAAAGCCCCGGGCUCAACCUGGGAACUGCGUUUGAAACUGCAAGGCUAGAGUGUAGCAGAGGGGGGUAGAAUUCCACGUGAUAGCAGUGAAAUGCGUAGAGAUGUGGAGGAAUACCAAUGGCGAAGGCAGCCCCCUGGGUAACACUGACGCUCAUGCACGAAAGCGUGGGAGCAAACAGG